AGCUCCAAUAGCGUAUAUUAAAGUUGUUGCAGUUAAAAAGCUCGUAGUUGGAUUUCUGGUUCAGAGAACCUGGCCCGUGGCCAAUUUUAGGCUCAUGAGCGCCGGAGUUGUCGUACCAUCCUUCCGGUUCUUCCUCAAUGCCAUUCGUUUGGAGGUUGGGGGUGUUCCGGAUCUUUUACUUUGAAAAAAUUAGAGUGUUUAAAGCAAGCUGUGUGUUGAAUACAUUAGCAUGGAAUAAUAAUUUAGGACUUUGGUUCUAUUUUGUUGGUUUCUAGCGCCAAAGUAAUGAUUGAUAGGGAUAGUUGGGGGUGCUAGUAUUUACCGGCCAGAGGUGAAAUUCUUGGAUUCGGUAAAGACUAACUUAUGCGAAAGCAUUCACCAAGGAUGUCUUCUUUAAUCA
rnacentral:rRNA from 1 species